rnacentral:lncRNA from 1 species
AAAAUCAUACCCAAAUUAUUUAAAAACUGCAAAAUCUAGGCUAAACUAUAUGAACGGACAAAUCUAGCAGAGUUUUUAACUUGGUUAGUGAAUUUGACCGUUUUGUGUAAAAAUAUUUAAAUUAUACUUGCGUGGCUAAUUUAAAUGAUAGAGUUGGAUUUUGUCAAUACGCGUUAUAUAUAAAAAAAUUAAAAUUAAAAUAGAAAAAACAAACAAAAUCAAAUUUGAUAUUGUAAUUUCCCCUCACCCACGACCCCAAACACUAAAAAUCAAUCUCC